GGGCCAAUAGCUCAGCCAGGCAGAGCAGCUGACUCUUAAUCAGCGGGUCGUGGGUUCGAUUCCCUCUUGGCCCA
rnacentral:tRNA from 1 species